GAUGAACGCUGGCGGCGUGCCUAAUACAUGCAAGUCGAGCGAACGGACGAGAAGCUUGCUUUUCUGAUGUUAGCGGCGGACGGGUGAGUAACACGUGGAUAACCUACCUAUAAGACUGGGAUAACUUCGGGAAACCGGAGCUAAUACCGGAUAAUAUUUUGAACCGCAUGGUUCAAAAGUGAAAGACGGUCUUGCUGUCACUUAUAGAUGGAUCCGCGCUGCAUUAGCUAGUUGGCAAGGUAACGGCUUACCAAGGCAACGAUGCAUAGCCGACCUGAGAGGGUGAUCGGCCACACUGGAACUGAGACACGGUCCAGACUCCUACGGGAGGCAGCAGUAGGGAAUCUUCCGCAAUGGGCGAAAGCCUGACGGAGCAACGCCGCGUGAGUGAUGAAGGUCUUCGGAUCGUAAAACUCUGCUAUUAGGGAAGAACAUAUGUGUAAGUAACUGUGCACAUCUUGACGGUACCUAAUCAGAAAGCCACAGCUAACUACGUG
rnacentral:rRNA from 1 species